AGUGAACGCUGGCGGUAGGCCUAACACAUGCAAGUCGAACGGCAGCACAGUAAGAGCUUGCUCUUACGGGUGGCGAGUGGCGGACGGGUGAGGAAUACAUCGGAAUCUACUUUUUCGUGGGGGAUAACGUAGGGAAACUUACGCUAAUACCGCAUACGACCUACGGGUGAAAGCAGGGGAUCUUCGGACCUUGCGCGAUUGAAUGAGCCGAUGUCGGAUUAGCUAGUUGGCGGGGUAAAGGCCCACCAAGGCGACGAUCCGUAGCUGGUCUGAGAGGAUGAUCAGCCACACUGGAACUGAGACACGGUCCAGACUCCUACGGGAGGCAGCAGUGGGGAAUAUUGGACAAUGGGCGCAAGCCUGAUGCAGCCAUACCGCGUGGGUGAAGAAGGCCUUCGGGUUGUAAAGCCCUUUUGUUGGGAAAGAAAAGCAGCAGGUUAAUACCCCGCUGUUCUGACGGUACCCAAAGAAUAAGCACCGGCUAACUUCGU
rnacentral:rRNA from 1 species